rnacentral:tRNA from 2 species
AAAAAAUUAGUUAAAACUAUAACAUUAGUAUGUCAAACUAAAAUUAUUAAUAUUUUAAUAUUUUUUA